AUGCUGAGAUGCAGCGCACCCCUCCCCCGAAGCUGGUAUCGCCCCCACUUCGCUGCCUCCCUGAGCCUGUCUGUGAAACCCACGCUCAGGAUUGCGAUCCAUGGCAAGAGCCGGAGCACGUGGCUGACCAUGUUCAGUCUGUGGCCCACACGAGUCCCGGGGGCGUUCAGCCCGUCCAGCCCUCUGCAUCCGCUCUCAUCUUGUAUCUGCCCAUGUUCCGUAUUUACCGAGACACAAGGAGGAUGCCGGCUGCACCUGCCUGUCUCCCAGGGCAGCUCCACCCGGGCCGUGCAUCCCUGCCAGUCCCCAGGACAGUGGUCCCCAGCAGCGAACAGCAGCCCUCCUUCCUGGCCGGGACAGCUGAGUACACAGGGCUCUCUGGCGGGUAAGAAGUCUCCCCUCAUGGUCUUUAUUUUUCCAUUUAAAAGCGUCCUUCCUCUAGCCUCCUGCCCUCCCUCAGCUGCACAGAUGCCCCUCUCUGUGCCUGGGGGGGUGCAGCUGCAGGUAGGCCAGCUAUGGUGGGCCCUGAAAGGCAGGGUGGAGAACCUCCGUGCCCUGGGGUGCCUGCAGAGCCUCUCUCCUCUCCCCCGGCGUCCACACUCGCUGCAGCGGAGCCUGAGGGGGCAGCCCCUCCGGCGUCCUGAGUCUGGAGCCAGAGCUGCAGGCGCCUCCGUGAGCCCAGGAGAGGACAGCUCUGAGCAAACCCCACGUUCCCCCGUCCUCGACCCGCGUGCGCUGCGUCCAAAAGUCUAGUCAAGAUGCCCCCAUGCCGCUUUAAAGGAAGAUGCUCAAACACCAGGGAGACACAGAGUUCUCUGCUCUGAAUAUUUUUGCUUUUGAAUCACAGAUCUGAAGCUGCCUUGUUUGGAUUUAAAAUUCCACAGUGCUGAUUGUGCUCCCUGUCACUAUUGCAAAGGCUGCGUCUGGUCCAGGCCUACGGGAUCGAGGGCCACCCUAGCAAAGACCACCUUGUGAAUGACCUUGUGAAGAGCCUGAACGCUUUUGGCACAACCCAGGUCCUAGGAAUGUCUACUUCCGGGGCCCCAAGUAGGAGAGACUGAUGGGACAUUUGGGUCCUUUUGCUGGAGAGCCCUGCAGGACUGUCUGUGGCCCUCCCUGUCCCGGUGUGGGGGUCCUUGGCUGUCUUAGUUGGGGGGACGCCAUGACUGACCGGGGACGGGGUUUCCCUACUGGGCAGCACCAGCUCCUCAGCUCAGCGCUGGCCUCUCCCAUCUCACAGAGCGUCGCUGAGCUCCGUGCCCGAGGNNNNNNNNNNNNNNNNNNNNNNNNNNNNNNNNNNNNNNNNNNNNNNNNNNNNNNNNNNNNNNNNNNNNNNNNNNNNNNNNNNNNNNNNNNNNNNNNNNNACAGAGCGUCGCUGAGCUCCGUGCCCGAGGGCCCUGCCACUGGCCCACGUGUGUGUGGUGCUCAGUGACUGUGGCUGUGUCCCGCUCUCGGCCACCCCAUGGACUGGCCCACCCGGCUUCUCUGCCUUUGGAUUUUCCAGGCAAGAACACUGGAGUGGGCUGCCACGCCCUCCUCGGGAUCUUCCCGACCCAGGGGUCUCUUACGCCUCCUGAAUUGGCAGGCGGGCUCUUUACCGCUGGUGCAGUGGACUGGAUAACUGUAGCAUCCUCCCCCCGAAUUCAUAUGUUGAAACCUAACCCCCAAGGUGGCGGUAUUUGGGGCUGGGGGCUUUGGGGCUGGUGAAGAGGUUAUGAGGGAGGCUUCCUCAAGACUGAGAGAUCAGUGCCCUCAUCAAAGAGACUCCAGAGCCGCCCCCCACCCCUUCCCACAAAGACUGUCCUGCGCACCAGGACGUGGGCUCUCCCCAGACGCUGAGCUUGCUGGCUCCUUAAUCUUGGACUUGCCAGCCUCUGGAAUGGUGAGAAAUCAGUGUCUGUUGUUUAUAAACCACCCGUCUACAGUCUUGUGUAAUAACGGCCCAGAUAGACUAAGGCACAGGGGCUCUCGACCUUGGCUGCACGUUAAGAUCACCCAGGGAACGUUUAAGACCCCGAUGUCCAGGCUGCCGUGUGGACAACAGUGAGCUGGUGGGAGCCCGCGGCACACACAGGCGCUCUGCAGCCGCGAUGGGGGGCUGGGCAGUGGGGAGGGGGCGCCGCAGGGAGGGCCUGUGUGUGCACGCAGC
ensembl:lncRNA